GGGGACUCGGGUAGUGGCGCACGGGUGCGUAACACGUGGGAACCUGCCUUUAGGUUCGGAAUAACUCAGAGAAAUUUGAGCUAAUACCGGAUAGUGUCUUCGGACCAAAGAUUUAUCGCCUUUAGAUGGGCCCGCGUUAGAUUAGAUAGUUGGUGGGGUAACGGCCUACCAAGUCGACGAUCUAUAGCUGGUCUGAGAGGAUGAUCAGCCACACUGGGACUGAGACACGGCCCAGACUCCUACGGGAGGCAGCAGUGGGGAAUAUUGGACAAUGGGCGAAAGCCUGAUCCAGCAAUGCCGCGUGAGUGAUGAAGGCCUUAGGGUUGUAAAGCUCUUUUACUAGGGAUGAUAAUGACAGUACCUAGAGAAUAAGCUCCGGCUAACUCCGUGCCAGCAGCCGCGGUAAUACGGAGGGAGCUAGCGUUGUUCGGAAUUACUGGGCGUAAAGCGCGCGUAGGCGGCUUAUCAAGUCAGGGGUGAAAUCCCGGAGCUCAACUCCGGAACUGCCCUUGAAACUGGUUGGCUAGAAUAUUGGAGAGGUAUGUGGAAUUCCGAGUGUAGAGGUGAAAUUCGUAGAUAUUCGGAAGAACACCAGUGGCGAAGGCGACUUACUGGACAAUUAUUGACGCUGAGGUGCGAAAGCGUGGGGA
rnacentral:rRNA from 1 species